GAUGAACGCUGGCGGCGUGCUUAACACAUGCAAGUCGAACGAUGACGCCCAACUUGUUGGGUGGUCUCGUGGCGAACGGGUGAGUGACACGAGAGUAAGCUGCACUUCACUCUGGGAUAAGCCUAGGAAACUGGGUGUAAUCCCAGACAGCAGCGUCCACCGAAAGGUGGGUGGUGGACAGAUUGAUCGGUUUUGGGUGGACUCGCGGGCUAUCAGCUUGUUGGUGAGGGAAGUGCUCACCAAGGCGACGACCGGUAGCCGGCCUGUGAGGGUGACCGGCCACACGGGGACUGAGAGACGGACCAGACGCCUACGGGAGGCAGCAGUGGGGAAUAUUGCACAAUGGGGGCGAGCCUGAUGCAGCGACGCCGCGUGAGGGAUGACGUCCUUCGGGUUGGAAACCGCUUACAGUAGGGAAGAAGCGAAAGUGACGGUACCUGCAGAAGAAGCACCGGCUAACUACGUG
rnacentral:rRNA from 1 species